rnacentral:rRNA from 1 species
CUACGGGAGGCAGCAGUAGGGAAUUUUCGGCAAUGGGCGAAAGCCUGACCGAGCAAUGCCGCGUGAACGAUGAAGGCCUUCGGGUUGUAAAGUUCUGUUAUCAGGGAAGAACAUACGGAUUAGGAAAUGACUCCGUACUGACGGUACCUGAUCAGAAAGCUCCGGCUAACUACGUGCCAGCAGCCGCGGUAAUACGUAGGGAGCAAGCGUUAUCCGGAAUUAUUGGGCGUAAAGCGUGCGUAGGCGGUUCGUUAAGUCAAAUCUGAAAGCCCACAGCUUAACUGUGGAGGGCGAUUUGAAACUGGCGAACUUGAGUACGGCAGAGGUUAGUGGAAUUCAAUGUGUAGCGGUGGAAUGCGUAGAUAUAUUGAGGAACACCAGUGGCGAAGGCGGCUAACUGGACCGGAACUGACGCUGAGGCACGAAAGCGUGGGGAGCAAACAGGAUUAGAUACCCGGGUAGUC